rnacentral:sRNA from 1 species
UAUAGUUCUGCUUAAGCGGCAGCAAUCUGUGAAGCACAGAUUUUCCGUGGUGCUACGAUCGGCAAUUUCUUAAAAUUCAACCAGAAGUUCAAGCUUAGCGUCUGCAAGUGAUGAUUCCAUGCACUGCAUGCUCUGCUUGCAGUUUGCGCACCUACUAAAAGAAGGUCGUUGCUCAAAACACUGCAGGUCCAUUCCAUUUGCAUAGGAAAUACUCAGCCAGAGUUAGCUGCUUGCUGCUACUCUCAACAGAUAAUGGAAUCCUCACCAAUGGUUCUAUCAAUGGGACCACAGCCUCCAAUGGAGCGCCAGCAAAAACCGAUUCUUCUUUUACUUCGCACGCACCGCCACCACCCAUCAAGAAGCGGAUUACAAUCUGAAGACCUUGACAGGAGGCAGGAUGCUGGACUAUAAUUUCGGCAUUUAUGUGAGCCAUCUCAUUACGAUCAUACCAUUUGUCUUUAAGAACAACAUUGUUCUUCACUGCUGCUGCUGGAGUGGUAACCUCAGCCAGUUGAAGCCUUGAUCUCAACUGGCUGGUGAAGCCACUGCAGUAGCAACAGUCCAGAUUAAUCUUGUUAUUAAAGUCAAAGCUAGGAUCGGAGCGAAGGGAAGUCUGGACUUGGAAAAUUUACUGAUAUUGUUUUUAUAAAGUAAAAUUCAAUAAAUAAGAACUCGGACUCAUUUAAAAAGAAUUAAGUAUAA